rnacentral:piRNA from 1 species
UCAACUCCCAAUUGUUGAACA